rnacentral:rRNA from 1 species
CCUACGGGAGGCAGCAGUGGGGGAUAUUGCACAAUGGGGGCAACCCUGAUGCAGCGACGCCGCGUGUGGGAAGACGGUCCUCUGGAUUGUAAACCACUGUCCCCAGGGACGAAGAUGACGGUACCUGGGGAGGAAGCUCCGGCUAACUACGUGCCAGCAGACGCGGUAAUACGGAGGGAGCAAGGGUUGUCCGGAAUUACUGGGUGAAAAGGGAGGGUAGGCGGGAUGGCAAGUUGGGUGUUAAAUCUACCGGCUCAACUGGUAGUCACACUCAAAACUGCUAUUCUUGAGUGAAGUAGAGGCAGGCGGAAGUCCUAGUGUAGCGGUGAAAUGCGUAGAUAUUAGGAGGAACACCAGUGGCGAAGGCGGUCUGCUGGGCUUUUACUGACGCUGAGGCUCGAAAGUGUGGGGAGCAAACAGGAUUAGAUACCCUUGUAGUC